UACGGAGGUGGCAAGCGUUAAUCGGAAUUACUGGGCGUAAAGCGUGCGCAGGCGGUUUUGUAAGUCUGUCGUGAAAGCCCCGGGCUCAACCUGGGAAUUGCGAUGGAGACUGCAAGGCUUGAAUCUGGCAGAGGGGGGUAGAAUUCCACGUGUAGCAGUGAAAUGCGUAGAGAUGUGGAGGAACACCGAUGGCGAAGGCAGCCCCCUGGGUCAAGAUUGACGCUCAUGCACGAAAGCGUGGGGAUCGAACAGG
rnacentral:rRNA from 1 species